UAUUAUGAUGAUGUAGAAGUCGGCAACCCACUUGGGUCAAGAGCCAAAAAACAUAAACUAGCUUUGUUCUACUUCAUGAUUGGAAACCUGUCUCCUAAGUAUCGUUCUUCACUUUUAAACAUUCAUCUCCUGUGCAUCACAAGGUCCCAAACUCUUCAAGAAUAUGGUGCCAAAACUGUCCUUGAACCAGUAAUGAAGGAUAUUAAUUACCUAGAAGAGGUAGGAAUAUCAGUCUUAGUUGAUGGAGAAGAAGUCUG